UACGUAGGGUCCGAGCGUUGUCCGGAAUUACUGGGCGUAAAGAGCUCGUAGGUGGUUUGUCGCGUUGUUCGUGAAAACUCACAGCUUAACUGUGGGCGUGCGGGCGAUACGGGCAGACUGGAGUACUGCAGGGGAGACUGGAAUUCCUGGUGUAGCGGUGGAAUGCGCAGAUAUCAGGAGGAACACCGGUGGCGAAGGCGCCACUCUGGGCCGAAACUGACGCUGAGGAGCGAAAGCGUGGGUAGCAAACAGG
rnacentral:rRNA from 1 species